rnacentral:rRNA from 1 species
UACGUAGGGGGCUAGCGUUGUCCGGAUUUAUUGGGCGUAAAGAGCGUGUAGGCGGCCAGGUAGGUCUGGUGUGAAAACUCGAGGCUUAACCUCGAGAUGUCAUCGGAAACCAUCUGGCUAGAGUCCGGAGGAGAGUGGAAUUCCUGGUGUAGCGGUGAAAUGCGCAGAUAUCAGGAAGAACACCAAUGGCGAAAGCAGCUCUCUGGGACGGUACUGACGCUGAGACGCGAAAGCGUGGGGAGCGAACAGG